rnacentral:rRNA from 1 species
GGAAUAUUGGACAAUGGGCGAAAGCCUGAUCCAGCAAUGCCGCGUGAGUGAUGAAGGCCCUAGGGUUGUAAAGCUCUUUUACCCGAGAUGAUAAUGACAGUAUCGGGAGAAUAAGCUCCGGCUAACUCCGCCCCAGCAGCCGCGGUAAUACGGAGGGAGCUAGCGUUCUUCGGAUUUACUGGGCGUAAAGCGCACGUAGGCGGCAUAGUAAGUCAGGGGUGAAAUCCCGGGGCUCAACCCCGGAACUGCCCUUGAAACUGCUAAGCUCGAAUCUUGGAGAGGCGAGUGGAAUUCCGAGUGUAGAGGUGAAAUUCGUAGAUAUUCGGAAGAACACCAGUGGCGAAGGCGACUCGCUGGACAAGUAUUGACGCUGAGGUGCGAAAGCGUGGGGAGCAAAC